ACGCAGUCCAUCACCACGACUCGCUGAGCCGCCUGUCGGUGAAGUUUCCCUUUCGGAUCCACGGCUUGGCCCAGGGUAGGGAAGUCCCGAAAACCCAAGCUGCGACGACUCACCGACGCUUCCUCGAAACCGACACGCAAUCAAACAGGAUCCAAGACAUUCCCGGUGAGGUCCCGGAAGCGUGUCCAGUUGUCCUGGGAAUGCGCCGUGUGGAUACUGGAGACCGUGUUAUUUAUUUUAUUACUCCUGGUUGUCGAGUCGACCCACCAGAGUCGAUUCAUGAAGUUCGUUUCGAAAUUCCACGCAAACGCUGAAGAGAGGUUGUUUGUAUUCAAGGCGAGUCACCUGACAGGACGUGUUUUGUGAACAAACAGCGACGCAUGGGAAGGACGGAUCUGGGAGCGCAACGUGCGGUCAGUCCGUUCUACCUUGGACAGUCAGGCUCGCUCACCGCGCGGCGGAUAGUGUGCGGAGCGAUACUGCGCUUCCUACCACUGCUGGAAACCACGAAUUCAAGGGGCCCACCUUUGGCUGAGCAGACAUGACAUGGACUGCUCGCAGUGUCGGUGGAUUUGCAUCCCUUCCAGGCCUACAUUUGUUCUUUCUCAAGGGCAGGCAUAAUGGAGCCACAAUCGGUGAAAGUGUCAUUCCUGCAUGUGAUUCUCUCAUCUCCGCAAUACUUGCUAAAUGGAGAGGAUUGUAAGAAUAAAGUGGGUAGAGAAGAGAAAGAGAGAGGAGGAGGAGGAGGAGUAGAAGAAUUGGAGCGAAGAGGACAAAGACAAGAUGAGUGUGGCGGAUUUGGGGGUUGGGGAUGUGUACAAGGUGAAAGAAGACUGAAUGAUUCGUAUGAAGUAUGUGGAGCAAGAAGAGAGCAAAGGCAUGAAACUUCUCCAUCAUGCCACAUCCUAAGCCUGCAUCAAGAAAUCUCAAUUAAUCUGCUUGAUCCCUCCUCGGCCGAUGGACUGCGUCUGAAAGAAUGUCCCGACACGGCACAGUGGAAGGGAGGAAAGAGCUCGGGUGAAUCUUAUUGGCAUUUGUCAAGCCCAGGGAGGACGUUGAAUGGAUCUGAUGAGAGAAAUGGGGAAGAUGACUCCACAGAUAAAGCCUGUUGGAUUCAACGAGGAUCAUGUGUGGAACACAGCCAGGCUUAUGGUAUAACAGAUCCUGUUGGGUUGAUGGAAACACCCAGAGCUUCAAAUCCUCAUUCAUUCCUGCGUCGAUAUCCUUUCAGCCGCUGCUAUGAUGUGGAGAUUUUAAACAAUUUUCACAGAGCACAUUCAACUGGGGAAGUGGAAACGAUGACGGGGAGUUUACAGUGUUCACGCAGUGAAGAAGCAGAACAGUUUGGCACCCCGUGUGCCUCAACUUACCAUGGGACGCACUAUUUUGGCUCACGCAGAAGGUCCUUAAACUGCAGACAACUUCCGUUUUGCAAAGGGGACACACCUACGUCUCCUGUUUUGCCAUCUAAUCCUCGAUGGAAAGUUCAGGUCAGCUGCGUGAGUCCUGUAUCUCCGGAACAGCACGUGAGCAGAAAACCCGGUGUGCAGGCCACGGUGGUGACCGCAAUGCCACGAGCCAACUCGGUUAACAUGGAGGUCAUACGGUUGCAGGCCAAACCUGGAAAACAAGGUGGUUCUGAAGGAGCGGAUGGUGAUGCAUCAACGAAGGAGGAGUUCUUCAUCUGCCUAGGACAGGUCACACCAGCUGGCUCCCAGAAUCCCAUAAAACCUACCAGUAGCUGUUUCUUCAGUCCAUCCUCACUUUCCCCAGCUUGCGGAUACAUCAGAGUUGGAGAUGGGACACCAGUGCUAACCGGUCGAGCUGCUUCGCCUCGAGCCUUGGAGAACAUACUGUACAGCACAGACGACGAGAAGACCGAGGCCAGGCCGAUGAGAAACGGUGAAGCCUCAUUGCCUGCCUGGCCUUUUCCGCAGCAGCCAAUGCUAUCAGAUGAAUGGAGGUCACUGGAGAUCCAGACCACGAUAGAAGAUAGCAAUGGAAGAAGGUCAGUGGCAUUAGGAUGUGAGGACAACUAUGUGACUAUUCAGACAAUGCCAGCACAAACAGAUCAGACAUGGAUUGGACAAAAAUUGGGAGCUUGCACUGUAGCAGAGACAGAGAGCAAACCUGGGCUGAGCACCGAGUGUUUCAAGGUAACUGCUGUGGAAGGAGAUUUGUCUGUGCCAAGUCCAAAAUCAUCCCAAAGCGAUGGGAAGCUCACAUCAAUUUGGGAAGUGCAAAGUUCAAGUGCUGCAACACAAGACUCCUUUGUGCCUGUCACAUCUUCUAGCCCCACCAUCAAGGACAUUCUCCCUUGGGAAAUUUCAGCCAUGACCUGUCUCAAAGAAAGCACAUCCCUUGCAGCUCAAUUUUCAACAGGUUCACAAUCUGAGCAGUGCUGUGGUGUGGCAGAUGAGACAAAAUAUGGAGAGAUGUUGGAGCCGGGAAAGAUUAGCAUUGAAAGUCCGAAUAAGGGAAUAGCGGCCGAAGGAGGUUUGGCAAGGCUGAUGGUACGUGAAAUCCAGCGCAGCCUUCAGCCCCCCUUGUUCUUGCAGCCAGAAGAGCUUCAAGAUUCAUUCUCCAAGCAGGCGGAGUCCAUCUUAGAGUCACACCGUAGUGCUGGAAUGGCUUGUUCUAGCCUUGAUUCCUUGGACAUUCUCAAUGCUGCAGCAGAUGAUGAACAAAUUGAUCAUGAUCAUAAUCGAGAUGAUCGCAAUAAUGAUGAUGACUAUGACGUGUGCACACAAUCCUCGGGCUCGAAUGACGAUGCUGUUGUCAUGACUGAUGGCGGAGCCUUGAGUUGCAUUGUUGGAGAUCCGGGAUUCAAACAAGGCUCGGAAGGACAAUCUGUCGUAUGGAGGUUGUCCUCUGCGUUUCAGGAGACACAAAAGGAAAGCACAUUCAAUUCGGAAGCUUUGACAAAGUCUACACAUUUAUUACAAGACCCUGCUUUGUCAAAGAACCAGUCAUUCGGUACUGUUAACCAAAUCACUGAACAUUCCUCUCCAAGGUUUCAUCAACCAUCAGAUGGGCAACAUGCUUGUGGGCCAGACAAGAUGGCGAUUGCGAAAGAUGAAGAAAGCAGCAUUGUGGGGG
ensembl:lincRNA